GGGAAGCGGCGCACGGGUGAGUAACACGUGGGAAUCUACCUCUGAAUGAGGAAUAGCCAUUGGAAACGAUGGGUAAUGCCUCAUACGUCCCAAGGGAGAAAGGCUACGGCCGUUCAGAGAUGAGCCCGCGUCAGAUUAGAUAGUUGGUAGGGUAAAGGCCUACCAAGUCUACGAUCUGUAGUUGGUCUGAGAGGAUGAUCAACCACACUGGAACUGAGACACGGUCCAGACUCCUACGGGAGGCAGCAGUGGGGAAUCUUGCACAAUGGAGGAAACUCUGAUGCAGCCACGUCGCGUGAGUGAAGAAGGCCUUCGGGUUGUAAAGCUCUUUCAGUAGGGAAGAUGAUGACGGUACCUACAGAAGAAGCACCGGCUAACUUCGUGCCAGCAGCCGCGGUAAUACGAAGGGUGCAAGCGUUGUUCGGAAUCACUGGGCGUAAAGGGCGUGUAGGCGGACGGUCAAGUCAGUGGUGAAAUCCCCGAGCUCAACUCGGGAACUGCCUUUGAUACUGACAGUCUUGAGUUCGUGAGAGGAUAGCGGAAUACCAAGUGUAGAGGUGGAAUUCGCAGAUAUUUGGUGGAACACCGGUGGCGAAGGCGGCUAUCUGGCGCGAAACUGACGCUAAAGCGCGAAAGCGUGGGUAGCAAACAGGAUUAGAUACCCUGGUAGUCCACGCUGUAAACGAUGUGUGCUAGUCGUCGGGAACUUGAUUUUCGGUGACGCAGCUAACGCGUUAAGCACACCGCCUGGGGAGUACGGUCGCAAGACUAAAACUCAAAGGAAUUGAC
rnacentral:rRNA from 1 species